rnacentral:rRNA from 1 species
CAAUAGCGUAUAUUAAAGUUGUUGCAGUUAAAAGCUCGUAGUUGGAUUUCGGAGUGGGCCAGUUGGUCCGCCGCAAGGUGUGUUACUGACUGGUUUGCUCUUCUUCGCAAAGACUGCGUGUGCUCUUGAGUGAGUGUGCGUAGAAUUUACGACGUUUACUUUGAAAAAUUAGAGUGUUCAAAGCAGGCCUUCGCUUGAAUACAUUAGCAUGGAAUAAUGGAAUAGGACUUCUGUUCUAUUUUGUUGGUUUCUAGGACUGAAGUAAUGAUUAAUAGGGAUAGUUGGGGGCAUUAGUAUUUAAUUGUCAGAGGUGAAAUUCUUGGAUUUAUGAAAGACUAACUUCUGCGAAAGCAUUUGCCAAGGAUGUUUUCAUUGAUCAAGAACGAAAGUAUGGGGGAUCGAAGAUGAUUAGAU